rnacentral:rRNA from 1 species
UACGGGGGGAGCAAGCGUUGUUCGGAUUUACUGGGCGUAAAGGGCGCGUAGGCGGCGUGACAAGUCACUUGUGAAAUCUCCGGGCUUAACUCGGAACGGUCAAGUGAUACUGUCGUGCUAGAGUACAGAAGGGGCAACUGGAAUUCUCGGUGUAGCGGUGAAAUGCGUAGAUAUCGAGAGGAACACCUGCGGCGAAGGCGGGUUGCUGGGCUGAUACUGACGCUGAGGCGCGAAAAACUAGGGGAGCGAACGGG